AUUGAACGCUGGCGGCAGGCCUAACACAUGCAAGUCGAACGAGAGGCGGACGGGUGAGUACUGUAUGGGGAUCUGCCUGAUAGAGGGGGAUAACUGCGGGAAACGGUGGCUAAUACCGCAUACUAUCGGAUGAACCCAUGUGGGAUUAGCUAGUAGGUGGGGUAAAGGCCCACCAAGGCGACGAUCUCUAGCUGGUCUGAGAGGAUGAUCAGCCACACUGGGACUGAGACACGGCCCAGACUCCUACGGGAGGCAGCAGUGGGGAAUAUUGCACAAUGGGCGCAAGCCUGAUGCAGCCAUGCCGCGUGUAUGAAGAAGGUCUUAGGGUUGUAAAGUACUUUCAGCGGGGAGGCGUUACCCGCAGAAGAAGCACCGGCUAACUCCGUGCCAGCAGCCGCGGUAAUAC
rnacentral:rRNA from 1 species